GAAUAUUGGACAAUGGGGGCAGCCCUGAUCCAGCCAUGCCGCGUGCGUGAAGAAGGCCUUAGGGUUGUAAAGCGCUUUCACUGGUGAAGAUGAUGACGGUAGCCAGAGAAGAAGCCCCGGCUAACUCCGUGCCAGCAGCCGCGGUAAUACGGAGGGGGCAAGCGUUGUUCGGAAUUACUGGGCGUAAAGGGCGCGUAGGCGGAACGUCAAGUUAGGGGUGAAAGGCCUGGGCUCAACCGAGGAACGGCCUCUAAAACUGACGAUCUAGAGUCCGGAAGAGGAUGGCGGAAAUCCCAGUGUAGAGGUGAAAUUCGUAGAUAUUGGGAAGAACACCGGUGGCGAAGGCGGCCAUCUGGUCCGGUACUGACGCUGAGGCGCGAAAGCGUGGGGAGCAAACAGG
rnacentral:rRNA from 1 species